rnacentral:rRNA from 1 species
UACGUAGGGGCCGAGCGUUGUCCGGAUUCAUUGGGCGUAAAGAGCUCGUAGGCGGCUUGUUGCGUCGGCUGUGAAAUCCCGGGGCUUAACUCCGGGCGUGCAGCCGAUACGGGCAGGCUAGAGUCCGGUAGGGGAGACUGGAAUUCCUGGUGUAGCGGUGAAAUGCGCAGAUAUCAGGAGGAACACCGGUGGCGAAGGCGGGUCUCUGGGCCGGUACUGACGCUAAGGAGCGAAAGCGUGGGGAGCGAACAGG